AUUGAACGCUGGCGGAAUGCUUUACACAUGCAAGUCGAGCGGCAGCGCGGGGGCAACCCUGGCGGCGAGCGGCGAACGGGUGAGUAACAUAUCGGAACGUACCCAGUCGUGGGGGAUAACUAUCCGAAAGGAUAGCUAAUACCGCAUACGUCCUGAGGGAGAAAGCGGGGGAUCGCAAGACCUCGCGCGAUUGGAGCGGCCGAUAUCGGAUUAGCUAGUUGGUGGGGUAAAGGCUCACCAAGGCGACGAUCCGUAGCGGGUCUGAGAGGACGACCCGCCACACUGGGACUGAGACACGGCCCAGACUCCUACGGGAGGCAGCAGUGGGGAAUUUUGGACAAUGGGCGAAAGCCUGAUCCAGCCAUGCCGCGUGAGUGAAGAAGGCCUGG
rnacentral:rRNA from 1 species